rnacentral:rRNA from 1 species
GAUGAACGCUGGCGGCGUGCCUAAUACAUGCAAGUCGAGCGAACAGACGAUGAGCUUGCUCCUCUGACGUUAGCGGCGGACGUGUGAGUAACACGUGGAUCACCUACCUAUAAGACUGGGAUAACUUCGGGAAACCGGCGCUAAUACCGUAUAAUAUCUUGAACCGCAUUGUUCAAUAGUGAAAGACGGUUUUGCUGUCACUUAUAGAUGGAUCCGCGCCGCAUUAGCUAGUUGGUAAGGUAACGGCUUACCAAGGCAACGAUGCGUAGCCGACCUGAGAGGGUGAUCGGCCACACUGGAACUGAGACACGGUCCAGACUCCUACGGGAGGCAGCAGUAGGGAAUCUUCCGCAAUGGGCGAAAGCUUGACGGAGCAACGCCGCGUGAGAGAUGAAGGUCUUCGGAUCGUAAAACUCUGUUAUUAGGGAAGAACAAAUGUGUAAGUAACUAUGCACGUAUUGACGGUACCUAAUCAGAAAGCCACGGCUAACUACGUG